UUGUUUUCGUUAAAGAACCGGGACGUUAACCACAGGCUGCCAGCGAAAGGGCUCGUGUUGCAGCCAGGGGCUCCGGGGGAAGGCGUUUUCCAAGCUCUGCAGCUCCGGGUCCCCUCUCUGGCCCGAACUCCGAGCCAGUACUGGAGGCAGAAGCGGAGGCAGAGAAAAGCAUCUGUAUUUGUUGAUUGGCCUCUCCCAUGCUUUCCAAGCAUUUCCACAGCUUGUCUCAGAUGAGGCAUUAUAUUUCCAGUGGGAUGAGAAGCUUGAUCUUCUUGCAGUUCUACUAGACUGCUGCAUCCACCCUGCGGUUGUGUAAUGGGGCUAUGAAAAGACGGGAGGAAAAACCCCUGGAGAAGGAAUAUGUGUAAAGGAGCCACUCUUAAUCCUGCAAAAGAUCCAGGAGCAGAAGUCUCAUUGAAGUAGCAUGUGAAAAGCCUCGUGUAGAGAAGCCCCUGAAGAACCCCAAAACAACCGUGAGUGGAGAAUGACAAUCACAUAAUCAAUGACUUCUGUAGAAAAGCACUUCGACCAGCUGGACCAUAUGGUCAGUGGUCUCCAGCUGUCUUUGCUCACAUGAUUUAGAUAGAAACCACUGUGGUGCCCACCGAUUACUUUUUUCUCCUGCUUCCAUGACUCAGAUAUAACCCCAGGCCAUAGGAUAAGAAGAAAAGACACUGCAGCAACCCCAAACAAUGGCUCCUUUAAUCUGAACCUGACAACAGAGAUACUUUGUGUUUGAAACAUACUGCUUUAUGGAGCUAUCGCCUCUUGACACAACAGCUUCCUAAAUAAUGAAUGCGGCCCUUGUCUCAUGUAAGCCUUUGA